rnacentral:lncRNA from 1 species
GGCAGGAUCCAGAGUCAUAUUUGUGUCUAAAGUGUAGGAUAUAAUGAUGCCUUGAACCUAAUUGUCCUGCUUGACUACAUGCAUUUAUAUCCACACAUUUAAUGGAUAUAAUAGCUUAUUUACCAGUUUUUAAUGAGCUCAUUUCUACUCAGCUCCAGUCCUUGCAAGGGUGAUGUAUGGGGACAACAGAAUCAGUAUUUCUUCUACUGAACAAACACAGGUAGUGUAGAAAGGUGCUGAGCUUCUGUAGGUAGAAGUACAUUGAAGAUCCUCAUGAUCCAGAAGCAUGAAGAUAAGCUUGAAAGGCACAUUUAAAAGGCUGAUUGUCAAGUUAAGCUCUCAAAACAUCUCUCUCAUUUUUUUUUUGUAUCUGAGGAGUACCAUUUCUUCCAGGAAUGUCUCUGUUGCUUCAUUACUUCUACGUUUGCAUUUCUGGAUUACUCUGUGGAGAAACCAGGCCAUGGUGUGCUUCUUCAUUAAUGAGAUUCACAAGCACUUUGAAGAUUUGAACUGCACCAUAUUAUGGGAAUCGUUUGGAGUCAUAAAAGAAGGAGUCGGUGUUGCAAGAGGAGGUAUGAUAAUGAAGCCUAAAGUCAGAGACUUAAUGCCUCAGUUCUUUGCUGAAUCAAAGCCUAAGACUGUGAGUUCUUUGAAACAGACUCUCCUCAAUUAGAGGCCUGCUCAGAACAUAAUAGAGCUAUGACAUACCUGGGGCCUCUGAGUCCUCUGUAACAAAUGGUUACGUACAUAAGCUUGAAGACAGCACCAGCUGCAGGAAUGCUACAGGUCCCUGGGAUCUAUCUCCUUCUCUCACGGCUCUUAGGUUUUUUAUUAUCUUCAAAUCUCUAUACCUUACUGCUUGUUCCAUUCCCCAGGUCCUUAAAGCAUUCUUUAAGCUAUAAAUAAAGAAGAUAAAAUUACAGGGUACUUACA